AGUAUCAUUGGCUUUAUAUCAGCUAUCGGUCGCUAUUUGUGUACAAAAACUCAUAAAAUUGGCUAUUAUACACAAAAAUGACCUGAAUUAAUGUGUCGGGGAAUGACAGUAUUAUAUAUUAAAAUGUGUAAAACAUCCACGCAGAGGUUAAAGUUCAGGGUCAUGUGGAGAAACUCUCAGCUGACUGGGGUUGUAGGUGUCUUGCUCAAUGACACUUCAGCAGGGUGGAUGCUAAAGUCCACCAAUUAAAGGGCUGUUUCUGUGCAAUCCAAGCUUCAGCGAUUAAGGAAAUGGAUCCUUGGGCCAGUCAAACAGCACACAGAAAACCAGAAGAAGACAGUUGCUCAGUCACAGUUUGGCUCCACAUGGCCCUCAAGCUGCACCUCCCCCUACACACCUGUGUCAGGAGGAGGACAGGAGAGCUCCUGUUCA